UGCCCUGUGGUUGCUGGAUGCUGUUGUGCAGGUACAGCUAUGCAGUGGAUACAAUGGGCCAUA
rnacentral:precursor_RNA from 1 species